rnacentral:rRNA from 1 species
GACGAACGCUGGCGGCGUGCUUAACACAUGCAAGUCGAACGGAAAGGCCUGCUUUCCCUUGUGGAUUGCGGGUACUCGAGUGGCGAACGGGUGAGUAACACGUGAGUGAUCUGCCCCCACCUUGGGUAUAAGCCUGGGAAACUGGGUCUAAUUCCCGAUAGGACUGCAGGGUGGUGCCUGUGGUGGAAAACGAUUUUCUAGUGGUUGGGGAUGAGCCCGCGGCCUAUCAGCUUGUUGGUGGGGUAAUGGCCUACCAAGGCGGCGACGGGUAGCCGGCCGGAGAGGGUGGACGGCCACAUUGGGACUGGGAUACGGCCCAGACGCCUACGGGCGGCAGCAGUUGGGAAUAUUGCACAAUGAGCGGAAGCCUGAUGCAGCGACGCCGCGUGGGGGAUGACGGGCUUCGGGUUGUAAACUCCUUUCGACCGAGAGGAAGCCACCUGGUUGGAAGGGUGGUGACGGUAGUGGUAGAAGAAGCACCGGCUAACUACGUG